UGGACUAGCUAGAAUAUUAAAUCACGACAC
rnacentral:piRNA from 1 species